rnacentral:rRNA from 1 species
GACGAACGCUGGCGGUGUGCUUAACACAUGCAAGUCGAACGGUAAGGCCCUUUCGGGGGUACACGAGUGGCGCACGGGUGAGUAACACGUGAGUAACCUGCCCUCAUCUCUGGGAUAACAGUCGGAAACGGUUGCUAAUACUGGAUAUGAGCUUGCAAGGCAUCUUGUGGGUUGGAAAGAUUUUUUUGGUUGGGGAUGGACUCGCGGCCUAUCAGCUUGUUGGUGAGGUAGUGGCUCACCAAGGCUUCGACGGGUAGCCGGCCUGAGAGGGCGACCGGCCACAUUGGGACUGAGAUACGGCCCAAACUCCUACGGGAGGCAGCAGUGGGGAAUAUUGCACAAUGGACGGAAGUCUGAUGCAGCAACGCCGCGUGCGGGAUGACGGCCUUCGGGUUGUAAACCGCUUUCAAUUGUGACGAAGCUUUUUGUGACGGUAGCAGUAGAAGAAGCACCGGCUAACUACGUG